AUAUUAAAUUGCUAUAAUUUGAACUGAAGGUAAAUAUUCUAAUUAUUUAUUUUUAAAAUUCUGACGUUCUUUGUUAAUACAUUCAAUUCUAUAUAGCUCUUCCAAAUCCCAAUACUUUUUUCUCCCAUAAUCCCUACAAUUCUGAAAUUUAAAUAUUAAAUCCUGCAUUUCAUAUCGUCAACUUCACAACAAAUUCCAGAUUCCUCUACCCGUUCAGAUCCAGCUACCCCUACCUCGAUCAUCCAGAACAGCAUCAACAGCACCAAGGACCCCUUCGACAUCGACCCCAUCAACCUCCAGAACACUGUCGACCCCAACGACCCCAUUGACCUCAACAUUCAGAAAUAUGGAUGUCGAAGUUGUACCACCACAAGCUAGACAAGAUUUUUGCCUUAGGAAAUUAAAACUUUUAUGUCUUGUAUCAAGACCCUUUUAAAGCAACAUAAUAACAAUUGUUUCAUAAAUAAAUGCCUCCUUAUAUUUUUUACAAUUUUUUGAAAACCUCUCCAAGUUGCUCGUCUAAUAGUGGACCCCGCCCCUUACAAUUCUCAGAGUUCCUCGGAAUGAUUGACCAAAGGAUUAGUGAUGUUAUAUCAAGAACGAUCUCCGCUUAGGCAAGCUACGGUACUUGCUAGCCAGGUCUGCAGGCAUUAUGUUUUGUACACAAACAUAAACAAUAACUUUUGUUAUUAAAUAGUGUGCUAUGCAUCUUUACUUGUUAUUUAUUGUGGUGAAAUUUCACUAAUGG